rnacentral:lncRNA from 1 species
CCGUACACAAUAAACAUAAAACACUUACAAUUACUCUUCAAAACACAAUAAAAUGACUACCACUUUCUAGAAGAGAAGAGCUAGUAGCACGGCUAUCAAGUUUCCACUCAAUGAUGACAUGGAGGAAUGCUUUGCUGUUUUCAUAUUCUUCGACGUCUUCAUUCGCUCGAUUCUUGCACAUUUAAUCAUCGCAAGCUCGGCAAUCUCUUUGAUUAGCUUCUAAUCAGUAGCAUCCAGUGACAAUCCUCUUGGAGGACGAGGCGGUUUAGGCAGCUUCUUGGCACUAUUUGACUUGCGCUUUUCCUUCCUUACAUUCUUCUCCAAAACCAGAGAAACAUCGCUCGUAUUUUUCACAUUGCUGCUGAAGCUUGCCCCCAUUGUCACGCCUGAUUGGUCCAUCUAAACUUACUGCUGCACUGUAGAACUUAUCAGAAGAAAUCUUCCCGAGUUUACAUCCAAAAGGUUGGGGCUUCUUGCUUCUCGGCUCAUAUUUACAUCACACUCAAUUUCAAUCACAACAUCUCUCAUAAGAAUGUGAUCCAUUGGUACCUCCUCUCUUGCUCAUGCAUAAAAUUUUAAACUGUCGACAGUAUAACUUAAAAAAUUAUCCUCAAAAUAUGUCAAAUGCAGGAAAUUUAAGAUCUUGCUAAUCAAUUAAUUAAAUUACUGCCCACAUUUCCAUAUUAGAAAACCCAUAAACUAUAACAGUAUAACUGCUCAAUUGCAAAUUUAGGAAGUAUAAAUCAAUUUCUUUCCAAGACCAGGUAGAGUUGACAAGAACUUGAAUAAAACAAAAAUAUAAAAAUGAAAUUUUCAUAAAGACAAUGAUAGUAGUACAAUUAGUCUUGAAAUUUUAUCAUAAUUAUUCUUUAUAUCAUCGGCCAUUCUAGUUGUAUCAAUGUUCUUUUUUGCAUUUUAACUCGACCGCUUUUUAAUUAAUAGCUAGCUAUCAGUUCUCAAACAACAGCAAAACAUGGAUUAUCAGUUUGAAAUUGAAGUUGAAAGUUCAAAUACCAAUGCCAACGUACAACAUCUGACUGUUCAUCAAAGUAAGUUUUUGAAUUUUGUUUUUCACUUCAUGAGUUGAGCAAACUAAAUACAUGUGUAUAUUUUCAAUUAUUUUUCUAAACAAAUGCAAUACUUUCAUUAGCUUUCUUUCAAGUGGCAGUGGUACAAUUUUACAUCUUAUAUUCUACAAAAUGGAGACUUCAAUUCUUGAUUUGCUAACCAUGGCUUUUCUCUCAGUUCCAAGUAUUAUCUCCAUAAAAUAUGACAUCCCUACUCAACGUGUAUCUGUGGGUAAAGCGCGACUUUUUAAUCCCCACAUUGAAGACAAAAGUAAAGAUGGCAGAAAUGCUAUUUGUUAUUGUUGUGUACAAAAAUGCUAUUUUAGAUAAAUACUAUCCACAAGCAUGCACCUACUAAAUUGGAUGAAGGUAAUGUAAAUUGUAAUAAAUCUCUAGUAAGACGACAUCUUAACUACAUUCACAUCACAGGCAUAGCAAUGAUUUUGCUUUAAAUUUCUUUUUGUCAAAC